rnacentral:lncRNA from 1 species
UUUUUAAUGAGUUUUGUAAAAACAAUUAUUAAUUUAUGAUACUUAAUUUUUGUACACAAAUUCAAAUUUGUAUAUUGGGGUAUACUGAGGUAUACCAGUUAAAUAUUUGUAUGAUUUUCAACUGGGAAAUCAAUAAAUGUACCAUAAAUUUCUAAAUAUGUAAGAGACAGGCAUGAAUUAUGUCUGUAUUUGGAAGAUAGUUUUGAUAAUGUAUUUCAAUUACAAAGGAGUAAGUAGGUCCUGUAAGACCCCUCUUUGGUCCCAAAACACAGUAGUUUUACAAAACUUUUAAAAUGUAAACUAUUAGCUGUUUAUUGGAAAGUGUAAUACUUUUGUUAUAUAUAUAUGUCCUGUUUUUGACAAUACAAUGCAAAUAUAUCGGGUUCUAGCACCAUUAAGUCAUGCUAAAUUACUUAAAUCUUCACAAGUUUAGCAAUUGUGUUAAAUUUUAGACAGUUCCAUCUUAAAUGACAGUGGCCACAUUUGUGUAAAUUCUUAAUAUUUAAAUGUAAGUUGUAUUUGAUGAUACUACAUAACAACAUAUAUAAAGGUUGAGUGUGAACACGGAUGUAGCCACUUUCAUUUUUGACAAAAACCAUCUGAAAAGUGACAUUUUUUUGUCAGAUCUUCAUAUACUUCAGGAGUUCUUUAACUGCAUGCUUGCUCAAAUUUACAUCAGUAAAAAUUGAAUAAGUGUUAUUUUGUUUUAUUUAUCAGCAUUUGUCGAAAGAUUUCACAAUAGUCCAUGUUAACUGUGUUUUUUGUAAGAAAUGGAUAACUGUGACAUGUGUAAAUUGCUAAAUUUAAAAAAAAAGUUUACUUUUUUGUGGAUUUAGUAUUUGAGAAAACCUAUAAGAUUAUGCAGCAUAUUUGUAGAGUGGGUGUGAACUGUGUAAUUGUUGCAACUUAGAUACUGUGACAUAACAUGGAUUUUGUGUCCUUCAAUAUCUCCUAAUUGUAUUGCAUUUGAGCUUAUACAUUUAAUUUCAAACCAAGUCCAUUUACUUUCAUAUCAUAUCAAAUUAAUAAUCUAACCUUUAUCAUUAUUCAACAGAUUUUCUUGUAUGACAAAAUUUCCAUCAGAAGAACUUGAAGGAAUGUAUGGUUAGAAUAGAUACAUGCAUGAUUUAAUGAUAUUAACGUUAUAUAUUGUAAUUGAAUGUAAGCAAUAUUAUGUCCAUGGAAGUUGAAAUUGAUUCAAAUAAAACCUUUAAAAAAGUUGUAUGCAAUUUGUAUGCCCAAUCUAUGAUACUGCAAAUUCAGAAAUUAUUGCCUGCAUUUAUUAUAGUAAUUUUUAUACGACCGCAAACAAAUUUUAGGGAUUGUAUAAUGGUAUGAUGUCGUCGUCUGCGUCUUCGUCAUCUGCGUCGUCCGAAGACACAUUUGGUUUCC